GUGCUUGCUUCAGCAGCACAUAUACUAAAACUGGAACGAUACAGAGAACAUUAGUAUGGACCCUGUGCAAGGAUGACAUGCUAAUUUGUGAAGUGUUCCAUAGUAAA